rnacentral:rRNA from 1 species
GAUGAACGCUGGCUACAGGCUUAACACAUGCAAGUCGAGGGGAAACGGCAUUGGGUGCUUGCACCGAAUGGACGUCGACCGGCGCACGGGUGAGUAACGCGUAUCCAACCUUCCCGUUACUGCGGGAUAACCUGCCGAAAGGCAGACUAAUACCGCAUGUUCUUCGAUGACGGCAUCAGAUUCGAAGCAAAGAUCCGUCGGUAACGGAGGGGGAUGCGUCUGAUUAGCUUGUUGGCGGGGCGACGGCCCACCAAGGCGACGAUCAGUAGGGGUUCUGAGAGGAAGGUCCCCCACAUUGGAACUGAGACACGGUCCAAACUCCUACGGGAGGCAGCAGUGAGGAAUAUUGGUCAAUGGGCGGAAGCCUGAACCAGCCAAGUAGCGUGCAGGAUGACGGCCCUACGGGUUGUAAACUGCUUUUAUGCGGGGAUAAAGUGAGGGACGCGUCCCUUUUUGCAGGU